rnacentral:rRNA from 1 species
GACGAACGCUGGCGGCGUGCUUAACACAGGCAAGUCGAACGGAAAGGCCCUGCUUUUGUGGGGUGCUAGAGUGGCGAACGGGUGAGUAACACGUGAGUAACAUGCUCUUGACUUUGGGAUAACUUCAGGAAACUGGGGCUAAUACCGGAUAGGAGCUCCUGCUGCAUGGUGGGGGUUGGAAAGUUUCGGCGGUUGGGGAUGGACUCGCGGCUUAUCAGCUUGUUGGUGGGGUAGUGGCUUACCAAGGCUUUGACGGGUAGCCGGCCUGAGAGGGUGACCGGCCACAUUGGGACUGAGAUACGGCCCAGACUCCUACGGGAGGCAGCAGUGGGGAAUAUUGCACAAUGGGCGGAAGCCUGAUGCAGCAACGCCGCGUGCGGGAUGACGGCCUUCGAGUUGUAAACCGCUUUCGCCUGUGACGAAGCGUGAGUGACGGUAAUGGGUAAAGAAGCACCGGCUAACUACGUG